CCCGAGCCCGGUCGAGCCACAGGGACCACCACCACACUUGCAUAUGUCGUCAGGACAAGCUAGCUAGCACGCACAAGGAAGCGGCCCGGGUGUAGCUAGCUCGAGCUUGACGACGACGACGACGACGACGAGGACGAGGAGUCGAGGAGCUAGAACGGCCCGGCGCCGCUAUAUAACUAGGUUUAAGGUCUACGUUGCGCCGGCCCUCUUCCUCCUCUUCGUCUUCCCCUCUCCCUGUUCAUCUCGUGUGUGUGGCGGUGGUGGCGCGCGCUACCGAGCUAGUAGUAGCUUAGCUACCUCUCUCUCUCUCUCUCUCUCUCCCUACUUGGCGAGGAGGAGGAGGAGGAGGAGUGGUGGUAUCGCCAUCAGAGCUCAAUAAUACUAGUGCACGCUCGCCUUGUUUUGUAGCUCUUGUCAGCGAACCUUCCCACCCUGAAAACCCCACCCACCCCCUCGUUCUCUCUCUAGCGAGCGAGCGAGCUCUCUGUCUGUGUUUGUGUGUGUGUUUGGUUGUUUCUUUCUCUCUCUCUCUAGGCGUCGCGGAGCGAGCGGGUGAGUUCGCGCGCCGCGGCGGCCGUGAUCUGUUGGGUUGGCGUGGCGUGAAGCGUGAUCUGGUGUGUGUUGUUUUGGGAGGUUGUGAUCGAUCUGUGUGUGGGAGAGAGAUGGCUGGAGCGGGGGGUGCGGCUGCGGCUGCGGCUGGAGGAGGAGGAGGAGGAGGGGGAGCGGUGGCAGGGAGGAGUGGAGGAGGUGGG
rnacentral:lncRNA from 1 species